rnacentral:rRNA from 1 species
CCUACGGGAGGCAGCAGUGGGGAAUAUUGCACAAUGGGGGAAACCCUGAUGCAGCAACGCCGCGUGAAGGAAGACGGUUUUCGGAGUGUAAACUUCUGUUCUUAGUGAAGAAUAAUGACGGUAGCUAAGGAGCAAGCCACGGCUAACUACGUGCCAGCAGCCGCGGUACUACGUCGGUGGCAAGCGUUAUCCGGAAGUACUGGGUGUAAAGGGAGCGCAGGCGGGAAGGCAAGUCAGCUGUGAAAACUACGGGCUUAACUUGUAGACUGCAGUUGAAACUGGUUUUCUUGCGUGAAGGAGAGGUUGGCGGAAUUCGGAGUGUAGCGGUGAAAUGCGUAGAUAUUCGGAGGAACACCGGUGGCGAAGGCGGCCAACUGGGCUUUAACUGACGCUGAGGCUCGAAAGUGUGGGGAGCAAACAGGAUUAGAUACCCUGGUAGUC